CUGAGAGAAAGUAGGAAUUCUCUACCAAAGCCAAAUUGCUUUAUGGAUGGAGAAACCAAGGUCCAUGAAUGGUUUGUCCAAAGGCAUACUGAUGUUGGGUUAGCAUCUUUCAGAGGAAAUCAGCAAAAAGAUUAAGAGAAAUUGACAUUCUUAAGACACUUAUCUACGAGUGCUGCCCACUUAACCCAAGAGACUUGCCGAUAAUUCCCAACCCAGCUGCCAGGCCAGCAGUCAUCUGUUUAGAACUUCAAAUGAAUGCCCUCAGACCCGCCUACUUUCUCCACAUAAUGCUGCAAGAUAAGUCUCCCCUGGCUCCUGAUAAACGCUUUGAAGAACAUCUUGCCUGUUAACAAACAGCUUUUGAUUGUG